UGUCGCACGGAUCCUCGGUGGCUUCGUGCGCGGGUCGCAUCUCCUCCUCUCUCUCUCUCUCUCUCUCUCUCUCUCUCUCUCUCUUCGAUCGCGAAGGCGGUGUUAAGAACCGCCUCGCGAUCCAACGCGAAGAAGCCAUCGCGCGCGAUUAAAUCAGUUCAAAAGCUACCAGCCAACAAGAACUAGUUGCUCUUCUAAAGCUGCUUAAAUAUGACUUCAAUGGCACAUCCGUGGAGUGAAGAACAACCCUCCAACUCGGAUGCUAUCAAUUUUUCUCAGCCCGAGGGGGCUUCACCUGAUUUAUUGAAGAACACGCCUUCAAACAUAGCCAGAUUGGAGGACGUAAUUGAGCAGUCUAAAGGCCGCCAGAAGUAUCUCGCACGGACUAAAAGCCCAUCCGAUGGUGAGGACGUCCGUUGGUACUUUUGCAAAGUGCCCCUUGGCGUGGGAGAGCUUUCCGCCUCAGUUCCUCGAACUGAGAUAGUGGGCAAAAGUGACUAUUUCAGAUUCAGUAUGAGAGACUCUCUUGCACUGGAGGCUUCCUUCUUACAGAGGGAGGAGGAGCUACUUGCGUAUUGGUGGAAAGAGUAUGCUGAAUGCAGUGAAGGUCCAAGUGGAUCUCAGAUAACUAAUAAUUUAACUUCUGCCUCCCAAUCUGAUGAUUUAUAUGCGGUGGAGGAAGAGCGUGUUGGUGUGCCUGUAAAGGGCGGCCUUUAUGAGGUUGAUUUGACCAGGCGGCACUGCUUCCCGGUAUAUUGGAAUGGGGAGAACAGGCGUGUUUUGAGAGGGCAGUGGUUUGCUCGUAAAGGUGGUCUUGAUUGGAUCCCCUUACGUGAAGAUGUUGCAGAGCAACUGGAGUUGGCAUACCGCUGUCAGGUUUGGCACCGCCGCAAGUUCCAACCUUCAGGUUUAUUUGCUGCCCGUGUUGAUAUACAGGGUUCAUCGCCGGGUUUGCACGCUCUUUUCACAGGUGAAGAUGAUACCUGGGAGGCUUGGCUUGUCUUUGACAAGUCUGGUUUUAAACUGGGAGGUGGAAACACGAUCAAGUUAAGGCGUGGUUUUUCUUCUUCUGGAUCUUUAAAGCCAACUCAGGAUGAGUUGCGCCAGCAAAAAGAGGAGGAAAUGGAUGAUUACUGUUCUCAGGUGCCUGUUGGCCAUUUAGUUUUCAUGGUUCACGGUAUUGGACAGAGGUUACAGAAAGCUAACCUCGUAGAUGAUGUUGGUGAUUUUCGUCGUGUAACUGCUAGUUUAGCUGAAAGGCACUUAAGUCCCUACCAAAGAAGCACACAGAGGGUGCUGUUUAUUCCGUGCCAAUGGAGAAAGGGUUUGAAGCUCAGUGGCGAAAGUGCAGUUGAAAAAAUUACUCUAGAUGGGGUUCGAGGUCUCCGUGUGACAUUAAGUGCUACUGUUCAUGAUGUUCUGUAUUACAUGAGUCCAAUCUACUGUCAGCAUAUAAUUGAUUCGGUUUCUAAUCAGUUGAAUAGACUGUAUCUGAAGUUUCUCAAGAGAAACCCUGGUUAUAAUGGGAAGGUUUCGAUAUAUGGUCACUCAUUAGGAAGCGUUCUAUCUUAUGAUAUUCUUUGCCAUCAAGAAAGUCUUUCAUCACCUUUUCCAAUGGAAUCUGUCCGCAUGGAAUCUCUAGUUGAUCAGGGAAGUCACAUUGAAGGAGCCCAACAGUCUGCUUCAUCAAUUGGUUCUGUGGCUUUUGAGAGCAAUAGACCAAACAUCAAUGGUGGAGAUUCAGAGAAUAUUGUUCAGGACCAUCCUUCUCCUUCCUGUAAGUAUUUCAAUGAAAGAAAGCAAUUAAGUUACACAAAAAAUAGAGAUGAAGAAAAAUCUCAUGACCAAAGUCCACUAAGUAUUGAUGAAAGCCAACAUUCAGUUGAGGGAAAAGUUGUUCAGCAAUGUCAAGCCCCAUUUUAUGAAGAUAAAAGCUCUUGGGCAGAUCCAAUAAUGCAUCCUGAAGGAGGCACUGUAGACAGGGAGGGUGUCUCUAAUUCAGGAGAAGCAAUUGAUAAAGAUAAAUUGAUAUCCUUGUUGGAGGAUGAGGUGAGGUCUCUUAAGGCUAGAAUAGCACAAUUGGAACAAUGUCACCACUUGAGAACUCUAAGCAGUGCGAAUGAUCGAGCAGGAAAAGAUCCUCAUUAUAGUUUGCAAGAUGACAUAAGGAAGGGCCACACGGCAUACAUUAAAUAUACUAAGCUUGAUUUUAAGGUUGAUACGUUCUUUGCUGUUGGAUCUCCUCUUGGAGUCUUUCUUGCCUUGCGGAAUAUUCGAAUAGGGAUAGGAAAGGGGCAAGAUUAUUGGCAAGAUGAGAAGGUAUUGGAAGAGAUGCCUUCAUGUCGGCAAAUGUUCAACAUUUUUCACCCUUUUGAUCCAGUAGCAUAUAGAAUAGAACCUCUCGUCUGCAAAGAAUAUAUCAGCAAGCGUCCGGUCAUUAUACCUUACCAUAGAGGUGGAAAGCGAUUGCAUAUCGGAUUCCAGGAAUUUACUGAAGAAAUAGCAACAUGUUCUCAAGCUGUAGUAACUCACGUGAACACUUUGAAGGUCAAAGCAAUUCGUGUUCUCCAAUCACGAAGCAAUGACAACACUGAAGAAAGUAUGGCAGGUGCCCAUGAUGAAGAAAGAUCGUAUGGUUCCCUUAUGAUGAAAAGAUUAACAGGCAGUGAAGAUGGCCGUAUUGAUCAUGUGCUCCAGGAAAAGACAUUUCAGCACCCAUAUAUAUCCGCUCUGGGAUCACAUACGAAUUACUGGCGUGACUAUGAUACUGCUCUUUUCAUUAUUAAACACUUGUACCGUGAUAUACCUGAGGAGCCUCCAACUGAUGAAGAGAGCGAUCAUUGUGGUUCAGGAACUCAAAGGAAGCCUGUAAAACUUUUCUAUGUGAGGGAUGUUAUGGAUGAAGACAUCCCUUUGACGUUUUCGGACAGUUUGUUGGUUAGGGAAUUCUCUAGAAAAGCAAAGAAGGUCAUGAAAGCCGCCAAAUGAGUCGAUCUUUCUUCUAAACAGGGGCUGGCUAAGCACCUAGGAUUGGAUUGAACAGGAUGAGAGGUGACAAGGAUGUUAGGAGUGGAGAGUUUAGUGACUGAGAGGCAUUGUCAGGUAAUUACUUUUCCUACGAAGAUCGCCGCGAAAAGGUAAAUACUUGGGUGGGCAGUGUUUGUUUAUACUUUGUACUCCACACGGCUAAUUUCUAACACAAUGUACACUGUAUUUUGUAUAUAGACAUGGUCGCUCUGUAACAUCGUAUUCAUAUUCUAAGAUUUGAACUGCUAUGUUUAUGUUGAUUACUUUAUUUUUAGUUGUGUACAUAUCACAAGCUCAAAGGAUUGUUGAACAUUCAAUUGUAUCUUUAGUUAACUUUUAUUAGCAUAGUAUAAGUUUGUGAAUGAAAACUGUAUUAAU